UACGUAGGGGGCAAGCGUUGUCCGGAAUCAUUGGGCGUAAAGCGCGUGUAGGCGGCUUGGUAAGUCUGCUCUGAAAGCCCGGGGCUCAACCCCGGGAGGCGGGUGGAUACUGUCAAGCUCGAGUCCGGAAGAGGAGUGUGGAAUUCCUGGUGUAGGGGUGAAAUGCGCAGAUAUCAGGAGGAACACCAAUGGCGAAGGCAGCACUCUGGGACGUGACUGACGCUGAGACGCGAAAGCGUGGGGAGCAAACAGG
rnacentral:rRNA from 1 species